rnacentral:rRNA from 1 species
CACCGGCCGCCUAUAAUGCAGUCGACGGUGUCUUCGGACAUAGUGGCGCACGGGUGCGUAACACGUAUGCAACCUACCUUACAUUGGGGGAUAGCCUUUCGAAAGGGAGAUUAAUACCGCAUAAGACAGUAGCUGGGCAUCCAGCAGCUGUUAAAGAUUUAUCGAUGUAAGCUGGGCAUGCGUCCAAUUAGCUAGUUGGUGAGGUAACGGCUCACCAAGGCUAUGAUUGGUAGGGGAACUGAGAGGUCAAUCCCCCACACUGGCACUGAGAUACGGGCCAGACUCCUACGGGAGGCAGCAGUAGGGAAUAUUGGGCAAUGGACGCAAGUCUGACCCAGCCAUGCCGCGUGCAGGAUGAAGGCGUUAUGCGUUGUAAACUGCUUUUAUACAGGAAGAAACGACUCUUGCGAGAGGCAUUGACGGUACUGUAUGAAUAAGCACCGGCUAACUCCGUGCCAGCAGCCGCGGUAAUACGGAGGGUGCAAGCGUUGUCCGGAUUUAUUGGGUUUAAAGGGUGCGCAGGUGGUUUAUUAAGUCAGUGGUGAAAGACGGUCGCUCAACGAUUGCAGUGCCAUUGAAACUGGUAGACUUGAGUAAAGUAGAGGUGGGCGGAAUUGAUAGUGUAGCGGUGAAAUGCAUAGAUAUUAUCAAGAACUCCAAUUGCGUAGGCAGCUCACUUGGCUUUUACUGACACUCAUGCACGAAAGUGUGGGUAUCAAACAGGAUUAGAUACCCUGGUAGUCCACACUGUAAACGAUGAUAACUAGGUGUCGGCCGAAUCUGGUCGGUGCCACAGCGAAAGCGUUAAGUUAUCCACCUGGGGAGUACGCCGGCAACGGUGAAACUCAAAGGAAUUGACGG